rnacentral:rRNA from 1 species
GGAAACAGGUGCUAAUACCGUAUAACACUAUUUUCCGCAUGGAAGAAAGUUGAAAGGCGCUUUUGCGUCACUGAUGGAUGGACCCGCGGUGCAUUAGCUAGUUGGUGAGGUAACGGCUCACCAAGGCCACGAUGCAUAGCCGACCUGAGAGGGUGAUCGGCCACACUGGGACUGAGACACGGCCCAGACUCCUACGGGAGGCAGCAGUAGGGAAUCUUCGGCAAUGGACGAAAGUCUGACCGAGCAACGCCGCGUGAGUGAAGAAGGUUUUCGGAUCGUAAAACUCUGUUGUUAGAGAAGAACAAGGAUGAGAGUAAAAUGUUCAUCCCUUGACGGUAUCUAACCAGAAAGCCACGGCUAACUACGUGCCAGCAGCCGCGGUAAUACGUAGGUGGCAAGCGUUGUCCGGAUUUAUUGGGCGUAAAGCGAGCGCAGGCGGUUUCUUAAGUCUGAUGUGAAAGCCCCCGGCUCAACCGGGGAGGGUCAUUGGAAACUGGGAGACUUGAGUGCAGAAGAGGAGAGUGGAAUUCCAUGUGUAGCGGUGAAAUGCGUAGAUAUAUGGAGGAACACCAGUGGCGAAGGCGGCUCUCUGGUCUGUAACUGACGCUGAGGCUCGAAAGCGUGGGGAGCGAACAGGAUUAGAUACCCUGGUAGUCCACGCCGUAAACGAU